rnacentral:rRNA from 1 species
GUGGGGAAUAUUGCGCAAUGGGCGAAAGCCUGACGCAGCGACGCCGCGUGAGGGAUGAAGGUCUUCGGAUCGUAAACCUCUGUCAGCAGGGAAGAAAUUUUAGUGUGCUAAUCAGCAUUAAAUUGACGGUACCUGCAAAGGAAGCACCGGCUAACUCCGUGCCAGCAGCCGCGGUAAUACGGAGGAUGCGAGCGUUAUCCGGAUUUAUUGGGUUUAAAGGGUGCGCAGGCGGAAUGUCAAGUCAGCGGUAAAAUUUCGGGGCUCAACCCCGUCGUGCCGUUGAAACUGGCGUUCUUGAGUGAGCGAGAAGUAUGCGGAAUGCGUGGUGUAGCGGUGAAAUGCAUAGAUAUCACGCAGAACUCCGAUUGCGAAGGCAGCAUACCGGCGCCCGACUGACGCUGAGGCACGAAAGCGUGGGGAUCGAACAGGAUUAGAAACCCUAGUAGUCC